ACAGAGGGUGCGAGCGUUGUCCGGAAUCACUGGGCGUAAAGGGCGCGUAGGCGGCUUGAUAAGGUUGCGGUGAAAGCCUGGGGCUCAACCCCGGGUCGGCCGUGCGAACUGUUUUGCUUGAGCACUGUAGAGGCAGGCGGAAUUCCGGGUGUAGCGGUGGAAUGCUUAGAGAUCCGGAAGAACACCGGUGGCGAAGGCGGCCUGCUGGGCAGUAGCUGACACUGAGGCGCGACAGCGUGGGGAGCAAACAGGA
rnacentral:rRNA from 1 species